GUUAGCACAUGACGGGGAAGGGAGAGAAACAUCGAAAAAGGUUCGACUCGAGCAAUAGUGAGAGAACGUUGCCGCAGGCAACGGCCCGAAGGGUGAGGAGCUUUAGCUCCGAAUAAUCCUUCCCGCUAUAGAA
rnacentral:sRNA from 1 species